UGGUUUAAAACCCGGGGGCCCCCUGACGAUUUUAUUGGUUGGGAACCAGUUCUCGGGGCGGCCAAAGAUUAAGUAUCCCUGGAGGCGGUCGCAGAAUUAAUUAAAGGGAUUCCGGGACCCGCCAAGGGUGAGCAUUGUUUAAUUGAAGCACGGAAGACCUUACUUGGUCUUGCAUCCGGUGACGCAUGGCAAUGCAUGUUCCCUCGGACACCGAGACAGGUGGUGCAUGGUGUCGUCAGCUCGUGUCGUGAGAUGUUGGNNUAAGUCCCGCACGAGCGCACNNCCNUAUUUCCAGUAACCAGCAUUUCGGAUGGGGACUCUGGAGAGACUGCCCGGGAGAACUGGGAGGAAGGCGGGGAUGACGUCAAAUCAUCAUGCCCCUUAUGAUNUGGGCUACACACGUGCUACAAUGGCGUAAACAAAGGGAAGCGAGCCGGUGACGGUGGGCAAAUCCCAAAAAUAACGUCUCAGUUCGGAUUGUAGUCUGCAACUCGACUACAUGAAGCUGGAAUCGCUAGUAAUCGCGGAUCAGAAUGCCGCGGUGAAUACGUUCCCGGGUCUUGUACACACCGCCCGUCACACCAUGGGAGUCGGAAAUGCCCGAAGUCUGUGACCUAACCGAAAGGGAGGAGCAGCCGAAGGCAGGUCUGAUGACUGGGGUGAAGUCGUAACAAGG
rnacentral:rRNA from 1 species